rnacentral:piRNA from 1 species
UUGGAGUUUGGAAUCCAAUGAGUGUACACUA